AUGGCCAUGCAUUUUAGUUUAUAGUUGGCCGAAAAUACCAAAAGAGAUAAAAAGAAAAAGAAAGCCACAUUCGGCGAUUAACAAACUUGAUUCAAGAUUAGGAACUAAAGAAAUCAGAUUUGGAUCGGGGGAAAACCAAAGUUGUUGAUUAGUCGUCCUAUUCCGAUUAUCGUUGUCUGAGAUUUUGGAGUCCAGUUACGAGCUCGGGAAUCGUCAGCAAAGUCUAUCACACUAUCGACUGUUUCGAUAUUUUUAUAAAUUGAAUUUGAAUUUAUGGCAUGUAUAGGCUAGUUUAUAUAUUUGAUUUUGGGGUAUGUAAAUAUGAGCCAUGCGAAAAUGGCUGAAUGAAUUAUAAUUAUAUUUUGGUUGGUGAUUUUGGAUGUGUGUUUGAGAUUCGGUUAUGGUUCAUGCAUAGAUAAAAGUUAUACGUGAACUGGGUUGUUAUGUUUUGUUAAGGUGUUAUUGUAUGACUCGGUAUUAAAGUAUAUUAUGGUUAUAUUUGAUAUGGUUGGAGUUUGAUUUGGUAUGAA